rnacentral:rRNA from 1 species
UGGAUCCAGACUUUGAUUAUGGCUCAGGAUGAACGCUGGCGGCGUGCUUAACACAUGCAAGUCGAACGGGGUACCCAUGACGGAGGCUUCGGCCAACUGAAUGGACUACCUAGUGGCGGACGGGUGAGUAACGCGUGAGGAACCUGCCUUGGAGUGGGGAAUAACAACUGGAAACAGUUGCUAAUACCGCAUGAUGCAGCGAAGUCGCAUGGCUUUGCUGCCAAAGAUUUAUCGCUCUGAGAUGGCCUCGCGUCUGAUUAGAUAGUUGGCGGGGUAACGGCCCACCAAGUCGACGAUCAGUAGCCGGACUGAGAGGUUGGCCGGCCACAUUGGGACUGAGACACGGCCCAGACUCCUACGGGAGGCAGCAGUGGGGAAUAUUGGGCAAUGGGCGGAAGCCUGACCCAGCAACGCCGCGUGAAGGAAGAAGGCCCUCGGGUUGUAAACUUCUUUUAACAGGGACGAAGGAAGUGACGGUACCUGUUGAAUAAGCCACGGCUAACUACGUGCCAGCAGCCGCGGUAAUACGUAGGUGGCAAGCGUUAUCCGGAUUUACUGGGUAUAAAGGGCGUGUAGGCGGGACUGCAAGUCAGAUGUGAAAUUCCAGGGCUCAACCCUGGACCUGCAUUUGAAACUGUAGUUCUUGAGUGAUGGAGAGGCAGGCGGAAUUCCGUGUGUAGCGGUGAAAUGCGUAGAUAUACGGAGGAACACCAGUGGCGAAGGCGGCCUGCUGGACAUUAACUGACGCUGAGGCGCGAAAGCGUGGGGAGCAAACAGGAUUAGAUACCCUGGUAGUCCACGCUGUAAACGAUGGAUACUAGGUGUGGGGGGUCUGACCCCCUCCGUGCCGCAGCCAACGCAAUAAGUAUCCCACCUGGGGAGUACGAUCGCAAGGUUGCAACUCAAAGGAAUUGACGGA